GUCAAAGCCCCUCCCCCAGCCCCCAGUGGCUCAAGCCCAACUGGCAGCCGUGGAAACGGGGCAGGAAUGUUUACCGGCUGCAGGCUCUGGCCGGGAAGCCUGAGACUGCCCUGCCGCCCCCGCAACAUCCAGCCACUAUCUUUCUCAUGAUACCAUUCUGGCCGAAGACCUUAUCAAAGGUCAGGCUUCAGGCCAACAGACAAGGAGAAGGACUGCUGCAGAGAAAGGCCCCUGCAAGGAGAAAAGUGAAACAGAGGGCUUGGUGUUGGUAAGCCACGAGUACCCCAGCAGGUCAGAGCUUCCUUCUUGAGGAAAACAGCUAAGAGGUGACUUUUUCAUCCUCAACCAGUCACCUGGACUAGUGAUCAGAAGCCUGCAAAGCAUGGCCAAGCAGAAGGUCUACUGAAAAGCCAGGAGCUUAUCACCUCAGUCCUGGGGGCAUUUACUGCAUGGGCCAUUCACCUAUUUCUUUGAAGGAAGUUCUGUAUCUUCAAGCAACAGAGGCACUAGGAGAGA
rnacentral:lncRNA from 1 species